UGGUGGAGUGAUUUGUCUGGUUAAUUCCGAUAACGAACGAGACCUUAACCUGCUAAAUAGUCACGCGAAUUUGCGUUCGUGGCCGACUUCUUAGAGGGACUAUUGACGUUUAGUCAAUGGAAGUUUGAGGCAAUAACA
rnacentral:rRNA from 1 species